UGACACACGGGCUCGGAGGAGUCUCGUCGUUCUCCCAAGGAGAAAAAAAACCGAGAAAAGGAGUGGGAGGAGUAGGAUGCAGACGAAAAGCACCGGAAACCAACACGCCUCCCUUCCCAAUCUCGCUGCUAAUGGCCGCCGCCCACAGCUGCAGCGCCGCCGCCCUAGCCUAAUGGCGUAGCUGAGCCCACCCUCGCAGUCGCGGCCAAACCAAGCGACCACGCGGAGGCAGCAGCUAACAGAAAGGAGAGAUUUUUGUCGCGGCUGUCGGUGGUUCGUCUCUUCGCUGCCUUUUUCCCUUUCGCUUCCUGCCACGGUUGGAAGGGAGAGGGGUCGAGGUGAAGGGAGAGUCGGCGGUCUCUCGGCGCAGGACUGGGAGUACAGCACUGGCUAUUAAUAAUCUGAGGCCUCUUCUUAUCUACUGCAACAAGGGGGCGUCACAGCAAGGGUUAAGGCCAGAAGCAGCUCUUCUCAACUCUAAACAUAGCUUCAUACACUGCUUGAUUGAUACUUCCUUUUCGAAGGCAUGUUCAAGAACCAGCUGCAGGAGCUUGCGCAGAGGAGCUGCUUCAACUUGCCGUCCUAUGCGUGCAUCCGCGAGGGGCCAGAUCAUGCGCCCCGGUUUAAGGCCACGGUUACUUUUAAUGGGGAAUCAUUUGAGAGCCCGGGGUUCUAUCCCACCUUGCGGCAGGCAGAGCAUGCGGCAGCUGAGGUAGCGCUCAAUGAGUUGUCCAAGAGGGGGCCUUCAUCAUCGCUUGCUGCAAAAGUCCUGGAUGAAACUGGGAUCUACAAGAACCUGCUCCAAGAAACUGCUCAUCGGGCCGGUUUAAAACUGCCUAUGUACACUACUAUUAGAUCUGGACCAGGGCAUACACCAACGUUCACGUGUACAGUGGAGUUAGCAGGAAGGAUCUUCACUGGCAAUCCUGGCAAGACCAAGAAACAAGCCCAAAAAAAUGCAGCUAUGGUGGCCUGGUCUGAAUUGAAGCAGCUGCCUCUAGUAGGUGAGGCAGCAUCAGUAGGUGAGGCAGCAUCUUCAUCUUCUCCAUCCGAUCAUGACAAGGAGCAGGAACAGGUCACAGUUACCCGCACUCUUGAAAACUUGGACCGAAAAAAUGAAGGCAAGGCAUCACAUCAAAAGGAAAAACAGCAAAGCAAUAACCGCUCACAAUCUCGGAGAUCUUAUCCUAAACCACAUGUGUCAUUUUACGGGUCACACUUACAAAAUCAGAUGUACCCAAAUGUUGCACCAGAGCAAGCAAUGUACCAUAUGUGGAACCAAGUGCAAGCAGCACAGCAGAAGCCCCAUCUUCCGAUGGUUCAAGCUAUGGGCAACACAAGGUUUCAACCGCCACCAACUAUGCUCUCCAUGUACCCUCCUCCACCUAGAAGGCAGUUUGCCGUGCCAGCCAGCCAAGAUGCUUUAGCUCUUCUUCCAUGUUUUCCUGAAACUGCUCCUGUCCUUCCUCGGUACUUCUCGCCUUACCCUGCCACCUAUGUAUCAAGAAGUCCAUUGCCAGUUACUGUGCACACAGUGCACAGGGAAAGACAAGGGUAUACUGAGACAGUUGAGCUUCCUGACGCCGCAGUUUUAUCCGAAUACACUGCUCUAGAUUCCUCUAGCACUCCAGAAAAUGUCGGUCCAAGUCAGGUUCAACAAUGGCCUGAAAAUGGGAAAGAGGUGUAUACAGAGAGUAGUGCUGCCUCCGUGGAAGAGAAUAAAGCUUCUCAAACUCUGUCAAGCUCCACAGCACAUCCACUGUCACAGAAGUUGGAACCAAAUCAAGAUGACAAAGAGUCAAAGAAGCCAGCGGAACAGCCACCAAAGCCAUCAUUGUCUCAUGCUGGAUCAUCUGUUGUACAAAGACCUGUCCAACGACAGGGUUAUUCUAGUCCUGUUCAGCACGGCGAGCCCAUCCACAGAAGUAAUCUUCCGUUCAGCAGGGCAACAUCACCAGAGUUAUGGCCUUUGGACAUGCAAGCUCCAGCGAGAUAUGGAGCUGCGACUCCUAUGAGUUCAUCAGGUUUGUUAUACCAGCAGCGGCCCCCUUGGUUGGCGGCCCCUGUUACGGUCCGAACUUCUAUCCCUGUGUGCUCAGCUAGGCCAAAUGCUGCGGUGGUGAACUCUAGCCCUGGAGCAGCAGCGCGAGCGCGGCCUGCUGUUCAGAUCCUCUCCAGGGAGGACCCUGAAGCCCACAGGAACACGAGACACGUGGGCGACGCUUCGACGGCGAGUUCAGAACUCAAUAAGCUCCAUAUGUGAGCGAUGCUACGACAGCAAGUUGAGACCAGUAGCGAGCUUUAGUUAGGGCUCGGACAUGGCAGUAUAUCAGUUUUGGCCACUUCGUUUCCACAUUCGGGUUAGAGCUCUCCGGGUGAAAUAGUUUCAGCUUUGGUCGGCACUCGUCAGCGUUGCCAUACCUAGCUGGCAAUGCCUCGUGUUUUCUCGGCAGUUUCAGCGUCGGCUGGGCAGAGGUCUUGCCGAUUGCUUGAAAAUAAAAAUGUCCCAAUGUUAAAAUUUUAGUCAUGGCCUAAUGUCGGUAGAGCAAGGUAUUGGUCACCAAGGCAACUCAAAACCUGCCAAAAAUCGUUCAAGUUCUGUGUGCUUGGCAAACUGAGUCGGUAGCCAACCAAUUGAUGGCUGGUGGUAAACCUGUGAAUAGUUUGGAUUGAAACCUUAGUUUCAGUUUGGUUUUCCUACAGAACUGUCUUUGGAUUGGAUUGAAUGGGCUGAGCCCCUAGCGUAAUCUGGUGUGGUCUGGGUUUUGCGUAUUGUUGGAUUAGUUUGGUUCCGUUUGGACACAAACAAAAUGGUUUCAAACUGUUUCAACCCACGGUCAAAGACCAAAUCCAGCGACCAAACUGUAUUUCGGGAUGGGGGCGCGCUUGCGCACAACGCAGGCCUAGCGCAUGCUGCGAGUUCACUUUUGUCCCGGUGUUCGCACCGAGCAGAGGCGGAGGCUGCCGCGAGCGCGUCCCCGGCGGUCGAAGCCCUCGGUGUCUAGGCGCAGCACAACAGCACGGAGUGCGACGACAGCGGCGUCCAUCCUGGAGCUCCAGGAGAUGAGGUCCUGGCGGCACCGCAUGGCCCAACGUGCAUGGCAAUGAUGGGACGUCGACGCCGCAGACGCGCGACUGCGGCGAGACAAGCAACUGCGCAAGGUAGGCUGGCGACGCUUGACGUCAUUAGCAGCGUGAUGGCGUGUGAAAUCAGCUUGUUCUACUUCUACCUCCCCUGUGUAACAGGAUUCUUACUAGAGUACCAGUCGUUAGAUACGCAUGUGCAUAUGGAUCUGUCUAUGGUUUGAAUCUGUGGAUUCCAUCCAAAAAUAGGAGACAGUUUGGAUUGGUUUGGGUGAAAAGCUCAUACAAUUUGGUUUGGUCUAGACUCUAGUCAAUAAAGUUUGGUUUGAUUUGGUUUCAA